rnacentral:rRNA from 1 species
UACGGGGGGAGCAAGCGUUGUUCGGAUUUACUGGGCGUAAAGGGCGCGUAGGCGGUCGUGACAAGUCACUUGUGAAAUCUCCGGGCUUAACUCGGAACGGUCAAGUGAUACUGUCGGACUAGAGUACAGAAGGGGCAACUGGAAUUCUCGGUGUAGCGGUGAAAUGCGUAGAUAUCGAGAGGAACACCUGCGGCGAAGGCGGGUUGCUGGGCUGACACUGACGCUGAGGCGCGAAAGCUAGGGGAGCGAACAGG